GGAGAUUUCGUCAUGGCGUCUCGUGUGACAGACGGUCCUGUGGUCUGUUGUGGCGGUAGAUCGCGACUUGAAGCAAAUGGCGUUGCGAUUACACAGGCCAACAUGGUAAAUGAAAUGCGGGCCGUUCAACUACUUAUCGGCGGAAAUGGUCGUGGAGUGUUUUUGCCGAGGAAGUUUCAGCAUAAAUGUUAAUCAGAGUUAAAUGGCAUCUUGACAUCUUCUGUAUGAUGAAGACGUGCUCUAUGGCCAUUGCUCCUUAAUGGGUAUAUAUGACUUCUGGCAGUACUGGCUCACUGAAAGCAACGUUAUUGGUGCCUUGUGGAUGAAGUAAGGUGGAGUGUGAAACUGCACCAGCAUCAUGUACAUCUACAAGCACAAAUAUUCUCCAGUUUGUGGAUCGUUUAUUGAUGGCUAUAGGAUUUUUGUCACAUUUUUUCCAGUGAAUCGUGUGAGAGGCAGGGUUUUGUAAUGAUCCCAUGGAUUCUAAUGCAGGAAGCCAUAAUUUCUGUGAAAACUGGUGGAUGCUCAUUGAAUUCUAUAAGGAAACACACAUGGUCCUGUUGAUUGAAGAUUGAGUAAUUGGUGCAGCCAACUAAUACAAGAAAUCACCAUUCACAGCAAUACCACCUCAGUACUGCAGUUCUCAUUUGUCUGAAAUUGGAAGAAUGAAAUGGCUUCUAUUUGGUCAUCUUCCAUCUUAUCAUACUUCUCUCAGUGGUUUUCAUCUCUUUGGGUGUGAAGAGUUACCAGCUGUGGAAGAAUUUGCACAAUUUGCUGCUUUAAUGUUUGCAGUUAAAAUUUUGGGAGACAUCAUUACAAGUUACUGACAUAAGCCCUGGUGGCUGAAUGGACAUGACAGUCUGAGGAACCUCUAUGGAAAUUACUGUUGUCCAAAAGGUAUGUUUACUGAGUCUUUUACAAAUUUGUUGCUGUUGUGUCACAGUGUACCAAAGACAAGUCUCAUUUUGAGACAAAAAUCAGUUCUUUUAUCAGAAUAAUUUGUUUUUACUUUCGAAUACAUUGUGGGAGUGAACAGUGAUCAAUGUAGUUACAAAUAUUUACUAUCAAAAACAGUCUUGAUCACAAAUUAUUUAUUCCGAUGACUGGUUUCGACUCCAACUGUGGUCAUCUUCAGACCAAUGAGUAAGAACCACCUCCUGAUGGUAAAUCACUAAUCUCUGAUUUACCAUCAGAAGGAAGUUCUUACUCAUUGGUCUGAAGAUGACCACAGUUGUGGUCGAAACCAGUCACCGGAAUAAAUAAUUUAUGAUCAAGACUGUUUUUGAUAGUAAAUAAUUUGUUUUUGCGUGCUGCUUUGACAGUUUAUUUCAUAAUUUUUCUGACGAACACAUUAUUUCAUUGUACUAAGAUUAAAGCUUUGGGCUGCAAUAAUACUAUUUUGUGUAUUUCCUACUACCAAGUACAGAUGUCAUAAAUUUAUUUCCUAUUGUUGAAUCAAUACUCAAUAGUGUGUGAAUUAAUUGGGAAAAGUUCAUAUUUUACAAGGAAUUGAAGUUGGUUACCUGUAACAAAGUUUAUCAGCCCAAUUGUUGGACUCUUUGUGGACUACUGCUGCCUUGAUUGUGAACAACAGUUGUAGGUACUCCCUCCAGUUCAGUUGAGUGCUUGUAGGUGUAGCAACAUUGUGUGCUAUUUCUGUGUUCUCGAGAGGAAAACUAAAAUGGAUAUUUCACCCAAUAAGUGGGCAAAAAUACUUGCCCUUCAUGAACAAACGUUUAUGAUUGUAGGAGACAUUGCUUCUGUUGUUGGUGUGGAGAAAGUCUAAUGUUUAAGGGGUUACUAGGGCAUACAGUGGUACUGCCUCAUUGUCUCCAAAGAGAAAAGGCAGAUGUGGAUGAAAACAAAAAACCAUUUCUAGAACUGACAAAACUCUACUUGGAAACAGUAGAAUUCAUCCUUACAAGACAUGUAAGGACUUUCAGGGAGAUUUAUUGGCUACUGGGGUUGAAACUGAGUCUUUAAUGGUACAGUGUAGGGUUCUUGACUGUGGGUCAAAGGCACAAAAGCCAGUAAAGUAGCAGUUGUUAAAACCACGAAGAAGAAACUUUUGGCAUGGGCCAAAUUAUAAAACUCUUGGACCUCCAGUAAUUGGAAAGUGUAAUUUCAUUGUUGAGCCCCACUUUGUUGAAGGAUACAGAGCAAGGGUUGUCAGGUGAAGCACAUGUGGGACAAUGAGAGCUGAGCACCUGGAACAGACUGUAAAGUACCCUCCCAAAAGAAAUGUUUGGGGGUUUCUUCAUGGCAAGUGGCCCUGGGGCACUAGUUCCAGUUGAUGGCGUGCUGAAGUCAUCCAGGUGCAUGGAAAUCCUUAGCACAGGAGUGUACCAUUCCUACUGACCUUCGCAGGUGGUUAAGGAAAAUUUCAGCAUGAGCUAGUGCUGUGUCUUACUUAUAAAGCACUCAGGACCUUCAUGGAAGAAAACAGUAAUGGUGUUUCAUUGACCUGGUCUGUGGAGUAUUGUCAAAGGCCAUCUUGGUAAAAUAGACUGUACAGCAAAAGUCUGCAUAUUAGUAAAUGUAGUAAAAGUGUAGUUUCUAGGCAGAGUGUAUAAAAAAUGUACUCCAACCUAGUCAAAUACUUGCCUCAGCAUAUUCAGAAGCUCAUUAAAACAAAAGGAGCACAAAUUAGUUAUUAACGUUCGGUAAGCUACUACUGCAUUACACAUAUAGUAUAAAUGGGCACAAUUAAAAGUUUGUCUUGUUCCAAUUAAUUUGCACACUGUUGUACACUACCUGACAAGAGUGAACCACACAGAAGGAGAGGAGGAAUCAAAAUGAUGCUUCACGGAUUGAGAGGGAAUGUGAUGCUAUUUCAGUGAUUACAAAAUUAAGUCAAAUUUACAAAGAACUGGGCAAUAUGAGCCCACCUAUUAGUAUUGUAUUGCCUCUGGACUGGAUGCAUACACUAUUGUGGUUGGGAAGAGUGUCAUGAAGCUGCUGUAUAUUCUACUGAGGCAAGCUGGCCCACAACUAUUGUAGCUGUUCCCUGAUAUACUGAAAACCGGCACUGAGAUGGAGGUGAUGUCUGAGCUGGUCCAACACUUUUUCUAUCGGGAGCAGGGUUGGAGAUCUUGGUGGCUAUGGGAGUAUGUCAGCAUCAUGCACACAGUUCAUGAAGAUGUGUUGUGUGUGGAUAAACAUUGUCCGUUCAAAAAUGACACCAAAAUACUGUCCUGAGAGUUAAUAUGACAAACAAGGCAGGGCCUCUCCAGAUCACUGGAUGAAUGGUGCCUCUUUCUGGGAUGCCGAGAAAUGUCAUCCAGUUAGGGCACAACCACAAUUCAUUGCUGAACAGUGCAACACCAUUUAUCAGCAGUCUGUGCUGCCCAGUCAUAACCCUAGCCCAAAUGUAGCCAUUUGUGUUGUGUUACCAGGCUAUAGACUGAGUAAUUGUUCCCUAGUCCACCUGCUACUAGCCUCCGACCAAUGGUGCAGGAAAACGUAGAAUGUUGCAGGCAGACCACUACUUGCUUUCGUAGACAGGUGGCAAAGGGUUUAUGAUGUGCCUGGUUCACAAUACAGCAGUCCUCCCUUGUGACAGAUGUGGUAGAUGGUAACUUGUUCUUGUUUGGACAUUAUUGAACCACUGUCACAUCUUGACGCCCCACAAAUCUAGAUAUUACAUAGUUUGACCAGCUGGCCCAACAGAGACCUACAAUGAACCCCUUUAGAACUCUGUCAGGUGCUGAUAAUGCUGUCUGACAUUAGUAUGUGGCAUCUGUGCCCUUCAUAAUGACUACUCAACAUCUGAUGCUGUUCAGAUUAUAUAACCUACCAGGUAUGGUAACAGCAGUAUAAAUGAACAAAACUAAUGCACUAUGAAUGUUCUACCUCCCACAGAGAAAUCAACUCAAGUCACUUAAAUACACUACUGGCCAUUAAAAUUGCUACACCACUAAGACGACGUGCUACAGACGCGAAAUUUAACCGACAGGAAGAAAAUGCUGUGAUAUGCAAAUGAUUAGCUUUUCAGAGCUUUUACACAAGGCUGAUAUGAGGAAAGUUUCCAACCGAUUUCUCAUACAAAACCAACAGUUGACUGGUAUUGCCUGGCUAAACAUUGUUGUGAUGCCUUGUGUAAGGAGGAGAAAUGCUUACCAUCACGUUUCCGACUUAGAUAAAGGUCGGAUUGUAGCCUAUCGCAAUUGCGGUUUAUCGUAUCGAGACAUUGCUCCUUGCGUUGGUAGAGAUCAAAUGACUGUUAGCAGAAAAUGGAAUCAGUGGGUUCAGGAGGGUAAUACGGGACGCUGUGCUGGAUCCCAAUGGCCUCGCAUCACUAGCAGUCAAGAUGACAGCCAUCUUAUCUGCAUGGCUGUAACGGAUCGUCCAGCCACGUUUCGAUCCCUGAGUCGACAGAUGGGGACGUUUGCAAGACAACAACCAUAUGCACGAACAGUUCGACGACGUUUCCAGCAGCAUGGACUAUCAGCUCGGAGACCAUGGCUGCGGUUACCCUUGACGCUGCAUCACAGACAGGAGGGCCUUUGAUGGUGUACUCAACGACGAACCUGGGUGCACGAAUGGCAAAAAGUCAUUUUUUCGGAUGAAUCCAGGUUCUGUUUACAGCAUCAUGAUGGUCGCAUCCGUGUUUGGUGACAUCGUAGUGAACGCACAUUGGAAGCGUGUAUUAGUCAUCACCAUAUGGCGUAUCAUCCAGCGUGAUUGUCUGGGGUGCCAUUGGUUACACGUCUCGGCCACCUCUUGUUCGCAUUGACGGCACUUUGAACAGUGGAUGUUACAUUUCAGAUGGGUUAAGACCCAUGUCUCUACUCUUCAUUCGAUCCCUGCGAAACCCUACGUUUCAGCAGGAUAAUGCACGACCGCAUGUUGCGGGUCCUGUACGGGCCUUUCUAGAUACAGAAAAUGUUCGACUGCUGCCCUGGCCAGCACAUUCUCCAGAUCUCUCACCAAUUGAAAACAUCUGGUCAAUGGUAGCCGAGCAACUGGCUCGUCACAAUAUGCCAGUCACUACUCUUGAUGAACUGUGGUAUCGUGUUGAAGCUGCAUGGGCAGCUCUAUCUGUACACGCCAUCCAAGCUGUUUGACUCAAUGCCCAGGCAUAUCAAGGCCGUUAUUACGGCCAGAGGUGGUUGUUCUGGGUACUGAUUUCUCAGGAUCUAUGCAUCCAAAUUGCGUGAAAAUGUAAUCACGUGUCAGUUGUAGUAUAAUAUAUUUGUCCAAUGAAUACCCAUUUAUCAUCUGCAUUUCUUCUUGGUGUAGCAAUUUUAAUGGCCAGUAGUGUACUUGCUGAUGAUGUCUACAUGCAGGAAGUUAGUGCCACUGACCAAGUCUUUCAAAUGCUUUUGUUUCCCCUGGCAUUGUAUAUACAAGAUCCCAUUUAGUCAUAUAAUUAUUUUUUAUUUAUGAGCAACAGCACUUUUGUUACAUUUGCAAUAUGUAUAUUUGUACUGGUCAAUGUUUUGUGAUGAAUAAAAUCUCAAUUGAAGA